rnacentral:rRNA from 1 species
UAGGGAAUCUUCCGCAAUGGACGCAAGUCUGACGGAGCAACGCCGCGUGAGUGAAGAAGGAUUUCGGUUCGUAAAACUCUGUUGUUAGAGAAGAACAGCGCAUAGAGUAACUGUUAUGCGUGUGACGGUAUCUAACCAGAAAGCCACGGCUAACUACGUGCCAGCAGCCGCGGUAAUACGUAGGUGGCAAGCGUUGUACGGAUUUAUUGGGCGUAAAGCGAGCGCAGGCGGUCAAUUAAGUCUGAUGUGAAAGCCCCCGGCUCAACCGGGGAGGGUCAUUGGAAACUGGUUGACUUGAGUGCAGAAGCGGAGAGUGGAAUUCCAUGUGUAGCGGUGAAAUGCGUAGAUAUAUGGAGGAACACCAGUGGCGAAGGCGACUCUCUGGUCUGUAACUGACGCUGAGGCUCGAAAGCGUGGGUAGCAAACAGG